CGCAACCUAGAUCCCUCACACGCGCAGUUCACAAUAGGGCUUGUGCUGCUAUGAGACUCAUGCCACCGCUGUUCUGACAGGAGGUGGAGCUCCGGCGGUAAUGCUUGUUCACCCCACGCUCACCUCCUGCUGUGCGGCCCAGUUCCUAACAGGCCACACAGAUACUGGUCAACGGCCGGGGGCUGCGGACCCCUGCUGUAAGCCUUUUCUUCACCCAGCAAGAUUUAGUGUUGUUCAUCCGAAGAGCUCAAUUCUUAUUAUGGACACAAAUGAAUUGAUCUAACCAGCAGCCCUGGGAAGUGAGAAAGACUAAUUACCCCAGGUUGUAGUUAUUUCUUGGAUGGAUGGCUUUGGGUGGAUAGCCGGGUGCUGCUCCAGAGAGAGACAAGGAGAUGAGGAGACAAGCAGACGAACAGCGGAACAAUGCAGCAGAGAAAGAGAGAAGAGAAGGAACGUCUGAACGUCGAGAGGAGUUCGGCUGCUGGACGGCCAAACUCCAGGGGAAGAUCAUCUUCCCACUCCAUUCCCCCUCCAGCUCCCCAUCCAUCCCACUGAGAGCCACUUCCACCACUCAAUAAAAGCCCCACAUUUAUCCUUCAAGUCCAUGUGUGAUCCAAUUCUUCUGGGAUGCUAAACAAGAACCUGGGAUACAGAAAGCUGUCACACUGGCCCUCUGCCCUUGCAGAAAGGCAGAGGGGCCCUGAGCUGGUUGAUACUUAAGCUGUCUGUGGAUGGCAGAACUAAAAGAGCAUUGG
rnacentral:lncRNA from 1 species